rnacentral:lncRNA from 1 species
GGCGCAACAGAGUAGUCUAUUGUUGUUCCGGUUUUGGUUAUUGUUAAGGUUGACAUCGAUUCGUUUCAAAUUUACACUCUCGAGGCAUAAUAGAACAAUAUAAUUAGGUUUUACUCUUUGUUCGAUAGAAUGAGAAAAAGUACUCAUUGCAAAGUUAUACUGUUAGGGCGCAACCGAAUAGUCUAAUGUUGUUCCGGUUUUGGUUCUUGUGAACGCUGACAUCAAUUGGUUCGAAAUUACAACUCUCGGGGCAUAAUUGAACAAUAUAAAUUAGGUUUUACUCUUUGUUCGAUAGAAUGAGAAAAAGAACUCGUCGCAAAGUUAUACUGCUAGGGGGCAACUGAGUAGUCUAAUAUUGUUCCGGUUUUGGUUCUUGUGAACGUUGACAUCGAUUCGUUCCAAAUUUACACUCUCGGGGCAUAAUAGAACAAUACAAUUAAGUUUUACUCUUUGUUCGAUCGAAUGAGAAAAAGUACUCGUUGCAAAUUUAUAAUAUUAGGGCGCAGCUGAGUAGUCUAAUGUUGUUCCGGUUUUGGUUCUUGUGAAGGUUGACAUCGAUUCGUUCCAAAUUUACACUCUUGGGGCAUAAUAGAACAAUAUAAUUAGCUUUUACACUUUGUUCGAUCGAAUGGGAAAAAAGUACUCGUUACAAAGUUAUACUGUUAGGGCGCAACUGAGUAGUCUAUUGUUGUUCCAGCUUUGGUUCUUAUGAAGGUUGACAUCGAUUCAUUCCAAAUUUACACUCUCGCGGCAUAAUAGAACAAUAUAAUUAGCUUUUACACUUUGUUCGAUUGAAUGAGAAAAAGUACUAGUUGCAAAGUUAUAUUGUUGGGGUACAACAGAGUAGUCUAUUGUUGUUCCGGUUUUGGUUCUAGUGAAAGUUGACAUCGAUUCGUUCCAAAUUUACACUCUCGGGGCAUAAUGAAUAAAAUAAUUAGCUUUUACACUUUGUUCGAUUGAAUGAGAAAAAGUACUAGUUGCAAAGUUAUACUGUUGGGGCGCAACAGAGUAGUCUACUGUUGUUCCGGUUUUGGUUCUUGUUAAGGUUGACAUCGAUUCAUUCCAAAUUUACACUCUCGGGGCAUAAUAGGACAAUAUAAUUAGGUUUUACUCUUUGUUCGAUAGAAUGAGAAAAAGUACUCAUUGCAAAGUUCUACUGUUAGGGCGCAACUGAAUAGCGUUAUGUUGUUACGGUUUUGGUUCUUGUGAACGUUGACAUCGAUUCGUUCGAAAUUACAACUCUCGCGGCAUAAUUGAACAAUAUAAUUAGGUUUUACACUUUGUUCAAUAGAAUGAGAAAAAGUACUCGUCGCAAAGUUAUACUGUUGGGGCGCAACUAAGUAGUCUAAUGUUGUUCCGGUUUUGGUUCUUGUGAACGUUGACAUCGAUUCGUUCCAAAUUUACACUCUCGGGGCAAAAUAGGACAAUAUAAUUAAGUUUUACGCUUUGUUCGAUCGAAUGAGAAAAUGUACGCGUUGCAAAUUUAUACUGUUAGGGCGCAGCUGGGUAGUCUAAUGUUGUUCCGGUUUCGGUUCAUGUGAAGGUUGACAUCGAUUCGUUCCAAAUGUACACUCUUGGGGCAUAAUAGAACAAUAUAAUUAGCUUUUACACUUUGUUCAAUCGAAUGGAAAAAAAUACUCGUUGCAAAGUUAUACUGUUAGGGCGCAGCUUAGUAGUCUAAUGUUGUUCCGGUUUUGGUUCUUGUGAAGGUUGACAUCGAUUCGUUCUAAAUUUACACUCGCGGGGCAUAAUAGAACAAUAUAAUUAGCUUUUACACUUUGUUCGGUCGAAUGGGAAAAAGUACUCGUUGCAAAGUUAUACUGUUAGGGCGGAACUGAGUAGACUAUUGUUGUUCCGGUUUUGGUUCUUGUGAAGGUUGACAUCGAUUCGUUCCAAAUUUACACUCUUGGGGCAUAAUAGAACAAUAUAAUUAGUUUUUACACUUUGUUCGAUUGAUUAAGAAAAAGUACUAGUUGCAAAGUUAUACUGUUGGGGCGCAACAGAGUAGUCUAUUGUUGUUCCGGUUUUGAUUCUUGCUAAGGUUGACAUCGAUUCGUUCCAAAUUUACACUCUCGGGGCAUAAUAGAACAAUAUAAUUUGGUUUUACUCUUUGUUCGAUAGAAUAAGAAAAAGUAGUCAUUGCAAUGUUAUACUGUUAGGGCGCCACUGAAUAGUCUAAUAUUGUUCCGGUUUUGGUUCUUGUGAACGUUGACAUCGAUUCGUUCGAAAUUACAACUCUCGGGGCAUAAUUGAACAAUAUAAUUAGGUUUUACUCUUUGUUCGAUAGAAUGAGAAAAAGUACUCGUCGCAAAGUUAUACUGCUAGGGCGCAACUGAGUAGUCUAAUGUUGUUCCGAUUUUGGUUCUUGUGAACGUUGACAUCGAUUCGUUCCAAAUUUACACUCUCGGGGCACAAUUGAACAAUAUAAUUAGGUUUUACUCUUUGUUCGAUAAAAAGAGAAAAAGUACUCGUUGCAAAGUUAUACUGUUAGGGCGCAACAGAGUAGUCUAAUGUUGUUCCGGUUUUCGUUCUUGUGAACGGUGACAUCGAUUCGUUCCAAAUUUACACUCUCGGGNCUGGGAACUUGUUGUACACAAUCUCGUCGUUGUGCCUUGGGCGGACAGGGGAGGUACUGUCCGUACGGCGGUCCGCCGCCGUGCCCGAACCGAACCAAAUUGGUAUCGGCCUCGGGGCGGGGGCGUGACAGAAAAAUUACUAGUUGCAAAGUUAUACUGUUGGGGCGCAACAGAGUAGUCUAUUGUUGUUCCGGUUUUGGUUAUUGUUAAGGUUGACAUCGAUUCGUUUCAAAUUUACACUCUCGAGGCAUAAUAGAACAAUAUAAUUAGGUUUUACUCUUUGUUCGAUAGAAUGAGAAAAAGUACUCAUUGCAAAGUUAUACUGUUAGGGCGCAACCGAAUAGUCUAAUGUUGUUCCGGUUUUGGUUCUUGUGAACGCUGACAUCAAUUGGUUCGAAAUUACAACUCUCGGGGCAUAAUUGAACAAUAUAAAUUAGGUUUUACUCUUUGUUCGAUAGAAUGAGAAAAAGAACUCGUCGCAAAGUUAUACUGCUAGGGGGCAACUGAGUAGUCUAAUAUUGUUCCGGUUUUGGUUCUUGUGAACGUUGACAUCGAUUCGUUCCAAAUUUACACUCUCGGGGCAUAAUAGAACAAUACAAUUAAGUUUUACUCUUUGUUCGAUCGAAUGAGAAAAAGUACUCGUUGCAAAUUUAUAAUAUUAGGGCGCAGCUGAGUAGUCUAAUGUUGUUCCGGUUUUGGUUCUUGUGAAGGUUGACAUCGAUUCGUUCCAAAUUUACACUCUUGGGGCAUAAUAGAACAAUAUAAUUAGCUUUUACACUUUGUUCGAUCGAAUGGGAAAAAAGUACUCGUUACAAAGUUAUACUGUUAGGGCGCAACUGAGUAGUCUAUUGUUAUUCCAGUUUUGGUUCUUGUGAAGGUUGACAUCGAUUCGUUCCAAAUUUACACUCUCGGGGCAUAAUAGAACAAUAAAAUUAGCUUUUACACUUUGUUCGAUUGAAUAAGAAAAAGUACUAGUUGCAAAGUUAUAUUGUUGGGGUGCAACAGAGUAGUCUAUUGUUUUUCCGAUUUUGGUUCUGGUGAAGGUUGAUAUCGAUUCGUUCCAAAUUUACACUCUCGGGGCAUAAUGAAUAAAAUAAAUAGCUUUUACACUUUGUUCGAUUGAAUGAGAAAAAGUACUAGUUGCAAAGUUAUACUGUUGGGGCGCAACAGAGUAGUUUACUGUUGUUCCGAUUUUGGUUCUUGUUAAGGUUGACAUCGAUUCAUUCCAAAUUUACACUCUCGGGGCAUAAUAGAACAAUACAAUUAAGUUUUACUCUUUGUUCGAUCGAAUGAGAAAAAGUACUCGUUGCAAAAUUAUGCUGUUAGGGCGCAACUGAGUAGUCUAGUGUUGUUCCGAUUUUGGUUCUUGUGAAGAUUGACAUCGAUUCGUUCCAAAUUUACACUCUCGGGGCAUAAUAGAACAAUAUAAUUAGCUUUUACACUUUGUUCGAUUGAAUGAGAAAAAGUACUAGUUGCAAAGUUAUACUGUUGGGGCGCAACAGAGUAGUCUAUUGUUGUUCCGGUUUUGGUUCUUGUUAAGGUUGACAUCGAUUCGUUCCAAAUUUACACUCUCGGGGCAUAAUAGAACAAUAUAAUUAGGUUUUACUCUUUGUUCGAUCGAAUGAGAAAAAGUACUCGUUGCAAAGUUAUACUGUUAGGGCGCAACUGAGUAGUCUAAUGUUGUUCCGGUUUUGGUUCUUGUGAACGUUGACAUCGAUUCGUUCGAAUUUACACUCUCGCGGCAUAAUAGAACAAUAUAAUUAGGUUUUACACUUUGUUCGAUAGAAUGAGAAAAAGUACUCGUUGCAAAGUUAUACUGUUAGGGCGCAACUGAGUAGUCUAAUGUUGUUCCGGUUUUGGUUCUUGUGAACGUUGACAUCGAUUCGUUCCAAAUUUACACUCUCGGGGCAUAAUAGAACAAUAUAAUUAGGUUUUACGCUUUGUUCGAUUGAAUGAGAAAAAGUACUCGUUGCAAAGUUAUACUGUUAGGGCGCAACUGAGUAGUCUAAUGUUGUUCCGGUUUUGGUUCUUGUGAACGUUGACAUCGAUUCGUUCCAAAUUUACACUCUCGGGGCAUAAUAGAACAAUAUAAUUAGNNN